GGUUGAUUUCUCAAUUUGGUGCGGUUAUUAGGGUUUGAUUUUACAAAUUUCAUCAGUCAGACAACUUAAGUUAUAGGAACAUCUUCAUCAGACAAGUAUGAUAUGAGGAGAGGUCGGUUUGCAAAGAACGGACUGAUUCAGUACCAGAUUGUAUGCCAACAAGUUAAUGUUGGUUCUCUGGAAGAGGUGAUCAAACCAUUUUUGCAUCUUUCAACUGAGAAAGUUGAGAAUGCAAAGACCCAGGCAGAGGCUUUAGAAGAAGCUCUAGACAUUGAUGACUUGGAAGCGGAUAAGAGGCCUGAAGACUUGAUGCUGAGCUAUAUUGGUGGAGAGAAGGGAAAGGAUAUAUCUGACCGCGAGCUUGUUACUCUGUGGUUAGAGGCCUACAGAAUGGUUCUCGAAAUUCUCCGUAACAACACUAAACUAGAAGCAUUCUACGCGGUAAGCCAUCUGAUAUUUUAAUUAGGUUUACCUCCUUUCAACCGCUUUUUAUCUCUUAGGCAUUUUUGAUUUUUCAGUCUUGAUGAGUUUGAGUGUAAUAUUUCUCUCUAUUGUAAUGAUGACUGCACACCGAGUCUUCCAGUUUUGUAAGAAGCACAAGAGAACAACUGAAUUCUG